rnacentral:piRNA from 1 species
ACCUGAAGCGGGGCCAUUCC